ACGCUGGCGGCAGGCUUAACACAUGCAAGUCGAACGGUAGCAGGAGAAAGCUUGCUUUCUUGCUGACGAGUGGCGGACGGGUGAGUAAUGCUUGGGAAUCUGGCUUAUGGAGGGGGAUAACUACGGGAAACUGUAGCUAAUACCGCGUAGUAUCGGAAGAUGAAAGUGCGGGACCGUAAGGCCGCAUGCCAUGAGAUGAGCCCAAGUGGGAUUAGGUAGUUGGUGGGGUAAAGGCCUACCAAGCUUGCGAUCUCUAGCUGGUCUGAGAGGAUGGCCAGCCACACUGGAACUGAGACACGGUCCAGACUCCUACGGGAGGCAGCAGUGGGGAAUAUUGCGCAAUGGGGGGAACCCUGACGCAGCCAUGCCGCGUGAAUGAAGAAGGCCUUCGGGUUGUAAAGUUCUUUCGGUAUUGAGGAAGGAGUGUAUGUUAAUAGCAUACAUUAUUGACGUUAAAUACAGAAGAAGCACCGGCUAACUCCGUGCCAGCAGCCGCGGUAAUACGGAGGGUGCGAGCGUUAAUCGGAAUAACUGGGCGUAAAGGGCACGCAGGCGGUUAUUUAAGUGAGGUGUGAAAGCCCCGGGCUUAACCUGGGAAUUGCAUUUCAGACUGGGUAACUAGAGUACUUUCGGGAGGGGUAGAAUUCCACGUGUAGCGGUGAAAUGCGUAGAGAUGUGGCGGAAUACCGAAGGCGAAGGCAGCCCCUUGGGAAUGUACUGACGCUCAUGUGCGAAAGCGUGGGGAGCAAACAGGAUUAGAUACCCUGGUAGUCCACGCUGUAAACGCUGUCGAUUUGGGGAUUGGGCUUAAAGCUUGGUGCCCGUAGCUAACGUGAUAAAUCGACCGCCUGGGGAGUACGGCCGCAAGGUUAAAACUCAAAUGAAUUGACGGGGGCCCGCACAAGCGGUGGAGCAUGUGG
rnacentral:rRNA from 1 species